UACGUAGGGGGCAAGCGUUGUUCGGAAUUACUGGGCGCAAAGGGCGCGUAGGCGGCCCAGCAAGUCGGGGGUGAAAGCCCGGGGCUCAACCCCGGAAUGGCUUUCGAAACUGCUGAGCUAGAGUACAGAAGGGGCAACCGGAAUUCCCAGUGUAGCGGUGAAAUGCGUAGAUAUUGGGAGGAACACCAGUGGCGAAGGCGGCUCACUGGACCGGUACUGACGCUGAGGCGCGAAAGCGUGGGGAGCAAACGGG
rnacentral:rRNA from 1 species